GGCAGGCCUAAUACGUGCGAGUCGAGGGGUAACAGGAAGUGCUUGCACUUCGCUGACGACCGGCGCACGGGUGAGUAUCGCGUAUACAAUCUGCCUCAUACUAGGGAAUAGCCCGAAGAAAUUUGGAUUAAUG
rnacentral:rRNA from 1 species